UUUAUGAACAAUUAAGAAUAUUUACAUACAAAAAAGCUUAACCUUGAUUGAAAUUAAAAUACAUCCACGAGUACCUUUAUUGUAAAAAACAAAAUUAUAUAAAACACAUGCAAACAAAACCCAGCCCAGCCCAUCUCAGCGACUUUCCUGGGCCAAAAGCCCAUUCCCGAACUCCACGACAAACACACUUUUUAUACCCAAAUAUAUCCAGGACGUAACUGAAGAAACAUAGAUUAGCUUCCCACCAAAAAGCCGAACCUACCAUUCAAUCCAGCACUCCACUGCUACCACGUGUCCUUCUGCUAUUGCCCAUCCGCUGCCCUUUCUCCUUAAGCAAACUCAAAAGGCAAAACCCACGCUACCGUCUGUUAGCUUUAAAGCACCGCCCAUCUCCCUCUCUACGUAUAUUAGUACAAUCGUAUUUAGUAUUUAUACCAUAUGAUUUGGAACCAAAACCAUCCAUGGUCCUUAAAGUUUCAAUAUAUACCCAUGGAUCAUAAUAAUUCAAUAAUAAAAGAGGUAAAAUCAAGAACUGGCCCAAUCCAUCGCCGAUCUUACUCCUUUAAAGUCUCAAUAAAUUAACUACAAUUAUCCGCCGUAGGGCCCAUAAAAUUAAAAGUAGAGGGUCGAAUUUGAUCUAAUCUAACCUAGAGACACGGAUAUUGAUACACGAGGGAUGAUAUAAUGAAUCCACGUAAUCUGUAUCCCAAUCCGUAUCGGAUUCGUAUAUUAUACGUCUAACAAUAACCAACAAACAAGUAUAUUUUUCUAUAAAAACCUCUCCUUUGCCAAGGCAUCGCCAUUACCUGAUUUUCAAUCCAACAAUGUCUCUCAACCUCUCUCUCUUUCUCAUCCUCUCUCUCUUCUUUAUCUCCGCUAUUUCUGCGGAGACAUUCAACGGUGAUGAUUCCCUGAUCAGACAAGUAGUUGAAGGUCAGGAUGAAUCAUCAUCAAACCUGUUGACCGCAGAGCAGCAUCACUUCUCGCUAUUCAAGAGAAAAUUCAAGAAAUCAUACCUUUCACAAGAAGAGCAUGAUUACCGGUUUUCCGUAUUCAAGUCUAAUCUGAGACGCGCGGCGCGUCAUCAGAAAUUGGACCCAACAGCGAGUCAUGGUGUGACUCAGUUCUCCGAUUUGACUUCGGCUGAGUUUAGAAAGCAGGUUU
rnacentral:lncRNA from 1 species